rnacentral:misc_RNA from 1 species
GCAGCCACCAAAUGAGAGUCUUUGGCUUUUUCAAAUUUAUCUAUCAUAUUUUUAUUUCUCAUUUCUACUUUUUCAUCCUGAAUUUCAAUUUCUCCCAAUGGUCCAGUGCCAAGCUCUUUCAUCCAUCUCAAAUGUUCAUCCUUCUCUGACGAAGAGUAUCCUUCAAUUUGAUCGCGCGCUUUCCACCAAAAGAGGAGGAUAUCAAUAUCUCCUUUUCGUAUGAAAGAAGGGAAACGGGGAAGAUAAAUCUCAUACAGAUGGGCAGGCGUAUUUCCUCUACUAUCUUUUUGAUUUAAAAGGUAAAUUAAUGAAGAAUGUCGAAGCAGUGCUUGUAGUACUUGAUUAUUUUUGCUGAUCACUGCGUAAUGAAGAACAUUCCAGCCUUUAAUGUCAAUAAGUUCACAGCAAUCCGGGCAUUUAGAAAUGAUAGUCUCCAUUGUCUCUUGGAAGCCUCGACCGGCUGCAAUGUGAAGAGCUGUCCU